ensembl:lncRNA
GCCCUGGUACCAAGGGGGUGUGUGGGGAACUUGCAAUCCUCUAUGAACUACAACGAAAAUACCAACAGAACUCUACAACAAAAACAAUCCUUUCAAAAAAAUCUUUUCUUCAAUUGUCACACCCAAGGCAAUCUUCACAUGACAGCUAUAUAUUCCAUGCACACAUUUUGCUUACCUGACAGUACAAGUGCUUAGUUUUCCUUUCCUGUGUGGCAGGCCAUUCUUGUUACCUCUCUCGUCUUCCUCUUUUAUCAGGAGCUUUUUUUUUUUUUUGAGACAGGGUCUUACUAUGUAGUUCAGCCUGGCUUUGAACUCAGUGAUCCUCUUGCCUCUGCCUCCUGAGUGCUGGGCUUAUAGGCUUGUACCACCAUGUCUGGCCAGGAGCUUCUUAGUAUUCUGAACAACGUGCAAAUUUGUAGAAGUUUCAGUCCAUAAUCACCUGGCUCCAAGGCAGGGAUGGCAAACAGGUAUCGCAGAGGAGAUAAAACAUGGCACCCACAGGGUAGCAAAAGCAGCAAAGGAACAAUUCCUGGGGGUGGAAGACAGAAAAAAGCAACAAGGGCUACACAUGUGCUUCAUAGUUCAGAGGGUUUUUAUAUGUAUCACUGGUCUCUCAAAAACCAAGGUUAUUCCUUGAGGAAUAAUGGAAGCAGAGGUUAGUGUGAGGUGUUGGCUGGAUUACUAAUUUUUUGUCUUCAGACUCAAGAAUAUCUAGUGUAUACCUAAUUUCCAGAACAAAAAGUUAGGGUAAUCUUAAACGUAUAUUCAUUAGCUCUUUUAUAUUGUCAAUUCUGCUAUGGGUGAGUCUAGCUCAAUUUAAAACAUAAAAGUCAGAUACAGAGAUCAGCUCUUUUAGGCACUAUUAUAUUUUUGGUGAGUCAUGGAAUGUAAUAUUUUUUGUAUUGAGUUUGGGAUCUGUGGAGCUGGACUGAGUGAGUUCAGGGAGAUAAAAAGCAGCUGCAAGAAAGCUUGGAUUCUGUCCUCUUAUCAGUAGGCCCAUGCUCUGCCCUUCACCUUCUCGGUAAAAAACUUUGUACCACUGCUUGUUCUAGGUAAGUGAACUUAAUUAAUAAAAGAAUUAUUAUGACAUUUUCCUCCUCCUCUCUCCAGUACUGGGGAUUGAACCCAGGGAACUAUGAGCUACUUCCUAGUCCCUUCUCUCCCUUUUUGAGAAAGUGUGGCCAAGUUGCCAAGCAUGACUCUGAACUACUGAUCCUCCUGUCUCAACCUACACAGUAGUUAGGACUACAGCUGUGCCCUUCUUCGGCCAUCUCCAAUUUUUACGGGGACUCUGGCAAUAUCUUAAUUUCCACAAACCCUACAUUCAUCAAAGAUGAGAAGAGAGUUCCCUGGAGGGUUCACUGUGCAAAAAGCAACUGAAGGAGGCUAGUCAGCUGCAAAGUCAGCUUCACUUCAGACAAGUAGGUCCCCAGCCUCCAGGCCCAGACUCCUCCCACCAAAACUCACAGCCCCUAUCCCAGAAAGAUAGCCGCCUCCGCCACUGAACCCCCCAAGGCUUGGCGUGCUACCAGGCUGGGAAGAUUUCCCAAUGGUCAAGAGUCAGGAGCACGCCCAUCUCGUCAUUUCUAGGAAGCGAAACCGGCAGGGUUGCGCGGCUCACAACAGGAAGCACUACCGGUCUGAUCCGCCCUGUGCUGCGGUCCAAGCAGUUCCCUCCGCCUUUAAGUCUCGUAGCCGGAUCUAACUUGUCUUCUCUGCGUGCCGGCCUUCUGCCCGUGCGCGGUCGUGACCGUUCCCCUCCCUUCCUCCUCUACAGCGCCAUCCUCUUGUGACGUAGCUUGUGACGUAGCUUGUGACAUAGCGGCAGACUCCUACCCUGGGCAGGAGGGUAGACAGAAUUGAAUUCAUCAAAAACCCUGUGUCAGCCAGGCAUGGUGACACAUGCCUGUAAUCCCAGCACUGAGGAGGCUGAGGCAGGAGAAUUGCCUUGAGUUUGAGGCCAGCCUGGGCUAUAUAGUGAAUUCAAGGACAGUCUGAACUACAUAGUGAGACCCUGCUUCAACAACAACAACAACAACACCUCAAAAGACAACCUGUGUCAUCAGCAUCAGUUAUGAAUGGAGGUCCUUCUUGCCCUCCAUCCCGCACUGCUGAUGAUCCUUCAGCCCCACCAUCUCCCGCCUACCUUCCCUCUUUUAGUUAGUAACUCUCUUCUUGUCAGUUACUCCAUGCAGUCCCCUACAUGCCAGUUGUACUGUACUGUACUGUACCACCAUUUAAAGGUGACUGAUAAGAUAAAAAAGUUUAUUUAUAGUUGUGCUGUACUGCACCACCAUCCUAAG